AGCGUAUUUUGCCCAGGCGGAGCUCGACCGCCCCUUGAAGCAAUGAAGGCCUUCAUCGACGACCAUCGCGAGGCCUACGGGGUCGAGCCGAUCUGCAAGGUGCUGCCGAUCGCCCCA
rfam:Allochromatium vinosum DSM 180, complete genome.